GACGAACGCUGGCGGCGUGCCUAACACAUGCAAGUCGAGCGAGUGAAUCUCCUUCGGGAGUGAAGCUAUCGGCGGACGGGUGAGUAACACGUGGGCAACCUGCCUCAUAGAGGGGAAUAGCCUUCCGAAAGGAAGAUUAAUACCGCAUAAGAUUGUAGCUUCGCAUGAAGUAGCAAUUAAAGGAGCAAUCCGCUAUGAGAUGGGCCCGCGGCGCAUUAGCUAGUUGGUGAGGUAACGGCUCACCAAGGCGACGAUGCGUAGCCGACCUGAGAGGGUGAUCGGCCACAUUGGGACUGAGACACGGCCCAGACUCCUACGGGAGGCAGCAGUGGGGAAUAUUGCACAAUGGGGGAACCCUGAUGCAGCAACGCCGCGUGAGUGAUGACGGCCUUCGGGUUGUAAAGCUCUGUCUUCAGGGACGAUAAUGACGGUACCUGAGGAGGAAGCCACGGCUAACUACGUGCCAGCAGCCGCAGUAA
rnacentral:rRNA from 1 species